rnacentral:tmRNA from 1 species
GGGGUUGUUUGGUUUUGACAGCGAGUAGAAAAGGUAAGUAAGCAUGCAGUGCCUCGUUGGUUUGCACUUUAAUCUGAGCUUUCAACAAUUAUCUGGCAACACUAAUUAUGCUUUCGCUGCUUGAUCGAAGUAUAGUAGAUCGGCUUAAUCUCGGCACCAGGUGCUGAGACGAGACGUCACUCAGAAGCUCUUGCUCCGAAGCAGUCUGAUAAAGUGGCGCAGCAAUAUCGGGGAUAGUCCUUGCAGGCCCUGAUGCAGGGAUGAAGAUUUAGGGGAUAAGGUUGCGGUUGAUGGCUUUGGUUCUGCCGUAGCACGAAAAUGAAGUCAAAGAUAAGCAUGUAGAAAGCUUAUGGUUUCCUUGUUUGGACGAGGGUUCGACUCCCUCCAGCUCCACAA